GAUGAAGAACGUAGCGAAAUGCGAUAAGUAAUGUGAAUUGCAGAAUUCAGUGAAUCAUCGAGUCUUUGAACGCACAUUGCGCCCCCUGGUAUUCCGGGGGGCAUGCCUGUCCGAGCGUCAUUGCUGCCCUCAAGCACGGCUUGUGUGUUGGGCUCUCGCCCCCCGCUUCCGGGGGGCGGGCCCGAAAGGCAGCGGCGGCACCGCGUCCGGUCCUCGAGCGUAUGGGGCUUCGUCACCCGCUCUGUAGGCCCGGCCGGCGCCCGCCGGCGAACACCAUCAAUCUUAACCAGGUUGACCUCGGAUCAGGUAGGGAUACCCGCUGAACUUAAGAAUAUCAAUAAGCGGAGGA
rnacentral:misc_RNA from 1 species